rnacentral:misc_RNA from 1 species
GAUGAAGAACGCAGCGAAAUGCGAUAAGUAGUGUGAAUUGCAGAAUUCAGUGAAUCAUCGAAUCUUUGAACGCACAUUGCGCCCCUUGGUAUUCCAUGGGGCAUGCCUGUUCGAGCGUCAUUUGUACCUUCAAGCUUUGCUUGGUGUUGGGUGUUUGUCCUGAGGGACUCGCCUUAAAGUAAUUGGCAGCCAGUGUUUGGUUUUGAAGCGCAGCACAAGUCGCGAUUCAAAGCUAUACGCCCGCUUCCACAAGCCUUUUUCACUUUUGACCUCGGAUCAGGUAGGGAUACCCGCUGAACUUAAGCAUAUCAAUAAGCGGAGGA